GGGCUCAAUCAAGGAAAAAAUUGUUACUUCGUUCACACCGAAGAGGUCACAGGUUCAAAUCCUGUACCGCCCACCA
rnacentral:tRNA from 1 species